rnacentral:lncRNA from 1 species
AUGGUGAUACCUACAACAUGGCUUCAUACUUUUCUUUUGUGCUAUUUUCUUGUUAGGACGUGGUACAAUUUUGCUGCUGCUAAUUCACCACUUAUCUGUGCUGAAAACCACUCUCGAUUUAGGAAUACACUGGCUUCAGAACACCCUUUCUUAGCAGGUGGAAAACUUGUCAAAAUCCCAAGUACAGCGGAAUUACCAAAUUUAGAAGUGAGGAAACUGCACCGACCAUCUCUGAAGGGAAACACAAGAACCGUAUAUUUGAGAACUGAAUGACUGGAGGACAGUGCGAAGAGCGCUCCGUUUUUUGCUUAUUCAUCGGAGACGGAUCCUGCUCUCAGAAAGAGGAAAACUGCACAACCGGUCUUUCUGCAAAACUCGCGAACACACUAACUUACCGGAGGAGGCUUUAUUUUUUGCUGCACGCGGAGUCAGCAUAGAAGUCUGUGUUUCAGAAAAAAAAAGAAAAAAAAAAUUAAAAAAAUAAAUAAAUAAAUAAAAAAAAAAGAAGUCUGUAUUUCACCUUAAAACAAAGAGAGGCGGCCUCCCCACAGGUCUCGAGUCCGCGGCCGCCGUCCAGCCUCCCGAGGCCGAGGGCCGCGCCGCCUCCACAGCCCGCCCUUCCGCGCCUCACGGGACGGCGCCCGCGUCGCUGCCCCCGGCGCGC